rnacentral:rRNA from 1 species
GACGAACGCUGGCGGCGUGCUUAACACAUGCAAGUCGAGCGGGGGCUUCGGCCCCAGCGGCGAACGGGUGAGUAACACGUGGGCAACCUGCCCCGAGCACUGGGAUAACCCCGGGAAACCGGGGCUAAUACCGGAUAUGACCGCGACAGGCAUCUGUCACGGUGGAAAGGUUUAUUCUGGCUCGGGAUGGGCCCGCGGCCUAUCAGCUUGUUGGUGGGGUAGUGGCCUACCAAGGCGACGACGGGUAGCCGGCCUGAGAGGGCGACCGGCCACACUGGGACUGAGACACGGCCCAGACUCCUACGGGAGGCAGCAGUGGGGAAUAUUGCGCAAUGGGCGAAAGCCUGACGCAGCGACGCCGCGUGAGGGAUGAAGGCCUUCGGGUUGUAAACCUCUUUCAGCAGGGACGAAGCGAAAGUGACGGUACCUGCAGAAGAAGCACCGGCCAACUACGUGCCAGCAGCCGCGGUAAUACGUAGGGUGCAAGCGUUGUCCGGAAUUAUUGGGCGUAAAGAGCUCGUAGGCGGCCUGUCACGUCGGCUGUGAAAACCCGAGGCUCAACCUCGGGCCUGCAGUCGAUACGGGCAGGCUAGAGUCCGGUAGGGGAGACUGGAAUUCCUGGUGUAGCGGUGAAAUGCGCAGAUAUCAGGAGGAACACCGGUGGCGAAGGCGGGUCUCUGGGCCGGAACUGAUGCUGAGGAGCGAAAGCGUGGGGAGCGAACAGGAUUAGAUACCCUGGUAGUCCACGCCGUAAACGUUGGGCGCUAGGUGUGGGGGGUUUUCUACACCCUCCGUGCCGCAGCUAACGCAUUAAGCGCCCCGCCUGGGGAGUACGGCCGCAAGGCUA